GCAGACACAUUCCAGCCAAUCAGCAGCAGACCCUCCCUCCCAGACCCUCCCACCUCCUGGACAGCUCACUGUGAAGCUGCAUUCAAAAUGGAUGCUGUCCAGGAGGUGGGAGGGUCUGGGAGGGAGGGUCUGCUGCUGAUUGGCUGGAAUGUGUCUG